GAAAGCUGUCGCAAUCAGAAUGAUCUGUUUACAUCAAUAGCUGUACAGCUGACCUAAGAAAAUCUGGUUUAGAACAACAAACCCAGCUAAUGGCAGUUAGCUUUCAUGGUAGCUGUAAAUGGUUUUUCCCCAUUCCUUUCCCUAUUAUGUUAGUGAACUUUAAUAACUUUAAGGAAAUGCAUUGAGAAGCAAAGUCCACUACCUAGAUUACACACAAUAAAGUUUUCCUUACCGUCACUGAAAAUAUGCAAAUUUCUCAUGAAAUCCUAUGUCAUGCUGAACAAAUCAAUGUAAGAAAAUGUUUAAGAAUCCAGGGGUGGCUCAAAUGACUGCACACUCCCAGGUUUCAUGUCUUUCAAGCUCCAUCCAAAGUGCUUUUCUAUCACCUCAACCAACAUCAGGGAAAGCCCCCUGGACUUCCCACGCCCUCACCUCUCAGCACAGCCCCCCACUGAAGCAAGGUGUUACAUUUCUGGCUGACAAAGCAAAGCUUGUACAGGCAUAAAUUGGGGCAUGGAGUGGAAGGGGAGAAUCACAGAAUCAUAGAGUUGUUUGAGUUUGAAAGAACUUUAAAGGCCAUCUAGUCCAGCUCCCUUGCCAUGAACAGGGACACCUACAGCUCCAUCAGGUGCUCAGAGCCCUAUCCAGCCUGACCUUGGGUGUCUUCAAGAACAGGGCAUCCACCCUCUGUGCCAGCGCCUCACCACUGUUAGCAUAAAAAAAACAUUUUGCUUACACCCAGUGUAAAUCUCCCCCCCUUUUUUUUUCUUUGGAACCAUUUCCCCUUGUCCUAUCCCAAAAGUCGUCGCUAAAGAGUAUAUCCUUUUCUUUCUUAUAGCCUGCUUUCAGAUACUGAAAGACCACUCUCAGGUCUCCCUGAAGCCUUCUCUUUUCCAGCCUGAACAGCUCCCACUCUCAACCUGUCCUUGUUGGGGAAGUUUUCCGUUCCGUGGACCAUUUUUUUGGCCUUCCUCUGAAUGCACUUGAAGCAUAUCCUCCUAGGGGAGGAGGUGAGAGCCAGCAUUACUGAACAAGGGAGAUGGCAGAAGGUUCAAGAGACACAAGUUAUACUAUGUUUUGCUCUAAAAUAAAAUUUUACUUAGUUCUGCCUUUUUUCUUUCUUUCUUUCUUUUUUUUCUUUAAAGUAUUAGUUUUAUGCUUUGAUAUGCCCUAGUGUCCAGCUUUGUAUCUUACACUCCUUUUGAGCUGGGAGGAGUAGUUGGUGUCUCAUUGUUCAUUCACUAAUGGUAGGACUCUAUCAGUCUUCCGCACGUCGAGCUGUUCCUUAGUCCCAAGAAGGGUCCUGGUGUACUCAAUACGAGCACUAAAGUUUCGAGGCAUUGAAAGGCAGGACACAGCAGGCAGGUUUUGGCCAAGGACAUAAUUACUGAGCCCUGUGAGGCUGUUAGCCCAGCCCCGCAGUCACCACUCCCACAGCUCUUAACUUACACAUCAGCUCCACAUGUGGAUGAGGUUGGAGGAUUUUAGGGAUGAGUCCUCAGGUAAUCCUGACCUGACCUGACUCACGAGGGGGAGGAAGAAAUUCAGUCCAGCUGGCUCCAGAGGUGGUUCAUCUU
ensembl:lncRNA